AGACAGAGAAUUGGGUUUUUCUUCUUCAUAGGGUUUUGAGAAGACUGAGGCAAUCGUUGCUGAAGUCAAUGUUGUAAUGGUGAAUCGGGAUUUUUAAUGAAGUGGGUUUGAUUACUCUUGACUGUUUUGUGAAAUCGAGUUACGUCUGUGAUGAAGAGUUAAAAGGGUGUCUAUAGGAUUGAGUAUGCGGAGUGAAUGAAAUUUAUUGAGUUAAUCUAUAAGACAGUCAAUAGAUAUAAGAUCGUAAGUACAAAGCGGUAUUGAAGAUUAACAGUUUGAGUUGUUCGGGGUUCUCUGUAACGUCUAGAGACCUAUCGGCUGGGACAAAAAAGGACUUCGAUAAGCAGUCGAAG
rnacentral:lncRNA from 1 species